AGACCCGAAACCCGGUGAUCUAGCCAUGGGCAGGUUGAAGGUUGGGUAACACUAACUGGAGGACCGAACCGACUAAUGUUGAAAAAUUAGCGGAUGACCUGUGGCUGGGGGUGAAAGGCCAAUCAAACCGGGAGAUAGCUGGUUCUCCCCGAAAGCUAUUUAGGUAGCGCCUCGUGAAUUCAUCUCCGGGGGUAGAGCACUGUUUCGGCUAGGGGGCCAUCCCGGCUUACCAACCCGAUGCAAACUGCGAAUACCGGAGAAUGUUAUCACGGGAGACACACGGCGGGUGCUAACGUCCGUCGUGAAGAGGGAAACAACCCAGACCGCCAGCUAAGGUCCCAAAGUCAUGGUUAAGUGGGAAACGAUGUGGGAAGGCCCAGACAGCCAGGAUGUUGGCUUAGAAGCAGCCAUCAUUUAAAGAAAGCGUAAUAGCUCACUGGUCGAGUCGGCCUGCGCGGAAGAUGUAACGGGGCUAAACCAUGCACCGAAGCUGCGGCAGCGAACGUAUCACCCAAGACAACUUUACGGAGUUGACGAUUGACGGAGCGAAGCGACGUCAAAGCGUUCAUUAAAGUCGAGUUGGCUUAGGGAUACGUUCGUUGGGUAGGGGAGCGUUCUGUAAGCCUGUGAAGGUGUGUCGUGAGGCAUGCUGGAGGUAUCAGAAGUGCGAAUGCUGACAUAAGUAACGAUAAAGCGGGUGAAAAGCCCGCUCGCCGGAAGACCAAGGGUUCCUGUCCAACGUUAAUCGGGGCAGGGUGAGUCGACCCCUAAGGCGAGGCCGAAAGGCGUAGUCGAUGGGAAACGGGUUAAUAUUCCCGUACUUGGUGUUACUGCGAAGGGGGGACGGAGAAGGCUAUGUUGGCCGGGCGACGGUUGUCCCGGUUUAAGCGUGUAGGUGUGUGUUCCAGGUAAAUCCGGUUCACUUUAACACUGAGGCGUGACGACGAGGCACUACGGUGCUGAAGCAACAAAUGCCCUGCUUCCAGGAAAAGCCUCUAAGCAUCAGGUAACAUCAAAUCGUACCCCAAACCGACACAGGUGGUCAGGUAGAGAAUACCAAGGCGCUUGAGAGAACUCGGGUGAAGGAACUAGGCAAAAUGGUGCCGUAACUUCGGGAGAAGGCACGCUGACACGUAGGUGAAGUGAUUUACUCAUGGAGCUGAAGUCAGUCGAAGAUACCAGCUGGCUGCAACUGUUUAUUAAAAACACAGCACUGUGCA
rnacentral:rRNA from 1 species